GUAAGAAGACAGGACAGGCGCAAACCGCUGAUGCUUGGCAUGAUGAAGGGAGAACACAAAAGGAAGAGCCCGAUGUAGAAGAAAUGAAGUUUAGCAGGAUGCGUUGUUGGGAAGAACUACAUAAAAAUAAGAACAUCUGCUUUGUCACACACACGCAAACGUGCGCGUUAUAGUUGUAACAUGCCACAGCUGCAAUCUGGCAAAGUGAAGGAGUGCAAGAUCAAACUAAGUCUUUCGUGGUACUUACUACAAUAGAAAAGACACCACGAACGGACUUCCCCACCACCACUUGAUUACGCAAGUUUCACAGAAAAAAACGCGAGAAGGCAGAACAGCCGCAGCCAAACCGCCAUCAUGAAUAAAACGACAACCAUAAUGAUUUUUGUUGCCUUCUGCGUGAUAAGGUCUUGGCGCUGUCCCUCCUGAAAGCUUCCUUCGGGGGCUUCGCUACGCCGGGCAUUCCCUUGCCACUGGUGCGGCCUUCGACGAGUUUCAUCGAUGACGAUGUGCUGGCUGAGUUUCGCCGCUCCCAGCCAAUUCCUUGCCAGCAUCCAAGACUGACUGCGACAUCUGCUCUCACCUGGCAACCAAAGCCUUCCAGCGUCACGCGAUCCGAGGGGCGGAUAUAUAAGCAGCACUUGUCAGCUGAGCGUCCGGGGCACGACACUGCUCUGGCCAUGUUCUCACACCCGUUCUACGCACAGUUGCCAAUCUCACCCGCAAAUCAAAGGCAGAAACGCUGUGUUGGAAGAGCGAAUCGCUUCAAGUACGUGUACAAGAUACGUGAGCAAGAGGUUAUAACCAUCACACGGAAAAUUUUGAUCGUCAUCUGAAAUGAUAGUUUCAGAAGCGCUUCAUUCACCAGCGAGCACAUACGGAGAGAUUACUAAUAUGAACUGCUUGCCAGCGUAUGUGCUUAUAGUAGCCCUCUGCGCUAUGAGCUCUGAUUCCCGGACUGCGGAUAAAGUUGUAAAAGCAACAGUGGAAGAACGAAUUUUGUAUUCUACGAGAAGUUGCUAUCGAGAGACGUGCUCUGGGGGCAGCUGCCCCACCAAGGGGUGCAGAUGUCCAGGUCUGUUAUCAAUGAUCUUUGGAAGAAGGAACUGUUACUGAGAUGGAUACCUGCUUUGCCCCUAUUUCAUGAGCAAUUGAAUAAAAUUAAUAUUUUGGCA